UCGGAUUUGUGGUCUCCACCGACUUUGUGGGUGAUAGCAGAUCAAGCAUUUUUGAUGCAAAGGCUGGAAUUGCAUUGAGUAAGAAUUUUGUGAAGCUUGUGUCGUGGUACGACAAUGAGUGGGGAUACAGCUCCCGCGUGAUUGACCUGCUUGUUCACGUUGCCAAGAAGUCUGCAUAAAUAGUACCUUAUUAUGUUUAGUGUCUUGCUCGUGAAAAAAAUGAGUCUGAAUAAAUCUGUUUUCCCGAACCAGUGCACUGUUAGGAGCAUUAAGCUGCUCUUCUCUCUUUUCUAGCUUUUUGGCGUGGCAUCUUUUGUGGAGGGGAUGGAGUUUUUGUACUUUUAUAUACUUGCUGAUGUUGUACUCGGCUUUAUUGAUUCUAAUAUUAGACACUUGCCCUCCUUUAUUCAAC